GACGAACGCUGGCGGCGUGCUUAACACAUGCAAGUCGAACGAAGAGCGACGGAAGCUUGCUUCUAUCAAUCUUAGUGGCGAACGGGUGAGUAACGCGUAAUCAACCUGCCCUUCAGAGGGGGACAACAGUUGGAAACGACUGCUAAUACCGCAUACGAUCUAACCUCGGCAUCGAGGAUAGAUGAAAGGUGGCCUCUACAUGUAACCUAUCACUGCAGGAUGGGAUUGCGUCUGAUUGGUUAGUUGGCGGGGUAACGGCCCACCAAGGCGAGGAUCAGUAGCCGGUCUGAGAGGAUGGACGGCCACAUUGGGAGUGAGACACGGCCCAGACUCCUAGGGGAGGCAGCAGUGGGGAAUCUUCCGCAAUGGACGGAAGUCUGACGGAGCAACGCCGCGUGAGUGAUGACGGCCGUCGGGUUGUAAAGCUCUGUUAAUCGGGACGAAAGGCCUUCUUGCGAAUAGUGAGAAGGAUUGACGGUACCGGAAUAGAAAGCCACGGCUAACUACGUG
rnacentral:rRNA from 1 species